rnacentral:rRNA from 1 species
UUCCGGUUGAUCCUGCCGGACCUGACUGCUAUCGGAUUGAUACUAAGCCAUGCGAGUCAUUGUAGCAAUACAAGGCAGACGGCUCAGUAACGCGUAGUCAACCUACCCUAUGGACGGGAAUAACCUCGGGAAACUGAGUAUAAUGCCCGAUAGAACAUUAUGCCUGGAAUGGUUUAUGUUCCAAAUAAUUUAUUGCCGUAGGAUGGGACUGCGGCCUAUCAGUUUGUUGGUGAGGUAAUGGCCCACCAAGACUAUUACAGGUACGGGCUCUGAGAGGAGUGGCCCGGAGAUGGGUACUGAGACACGGACCCAGGCCCUAUGGGGCGCAGCAGGCGAGAAAACUUUGCAAUGUGCGAAAGCACGACAAGGUUAAUCCGAGUGGUUUCUGCUAAAGGAACCUUUUGUUAGUCCUAGAAACACUAACGAAUAAGGGGUGGGCAAGUUCUGGUGUCAGCCGCCGCGGUAAAACCAGCACCUCAAGUGGUCAGGAUGAUUAUUGGGCCUAAAGCAUCCGUAGCCUGCUCUGUAAGUUUUCGGUUAAAUCUGUACGCUCAACGUACAGGCUGCCGGGAAUACUGCAGAGCUAGGGAGUGGGAGAGGUAGACGGUACUCGGGAGGAAGUGGUAAAAUGCUUUGAUCUCUCGAUGACCACCUGUGGCGAAAGCGGUCUACCAGAACACGUCCGACGGUGAGGGAUGAAAGCUGGGGGAGCAAACCGGAUUAGAUACCCGGGUAGUCCCAGCUGUAAACUAUGUA